UCCCAUGACCCCUCCUUUAUAAGGAAAAAGAUGGAACCAAAAACUCUACUUCCUUCACUCAUUUUUCUCUCGCACUCUCACUCUUGUAAGCUAGAAAACUCUCCUCAAAUUUCUCAUUUGCACCCAAGCCUCUUCACAGCCCAAUCUCUCUUGAUUCUCCCCCAAAUCUCUAAAACACCACUUCUAAGAAGCUUGGAUGGAGAAGUCUACAAACUAAAGAUGUUAGCAAGGAGAUCAAGAAGGUUUGGAGCGUAAAAGGAAAGGAGAACCCCAACCUAGAGAAGGAAGAGUCCAGCCUCUUCUUUCUCGUCUAGUCUGGCACUGCUCUUCCGUCGACCAUGCCGUUAUCGCCUACCAUUCAACUACGUUGUUGGACUUUCCUUUAGAAAAAAAAAAAAGGGAACUACUGCAAAUCGAGGGAGGAAAGAGAAAGAGCCGCCACCGUCGCCGCGCAAGCUCAACCUUAUUGGGAGACCUUCUGUCACGAGCCCAGCAGCUGUCAAUCCUUUAGGUUGUCACCGCUCAAAUUCCUCUGUGGAAAACCUGAAUAUUCGUCGUCCAGAUCUCUCCAAGCCUCCCGCUGGUUCAAUACCAGACCGCCGCCGCCUCCCAUCAACACAAUAUCCUCUCAAGGCUGCUACGCACUUGCACAAGUUGGUCACUUUCUUGGGCCAAGUACUAUUGUUUGGAGUUUUUCGUAUUCUGAUCGUCAAAGUUUGAUUGU